CGACCGGCGCACGGGUGAGUAACACGUAUGCAACCUGGCCGCCACAGGGGGAUAACCCGCGGAAACGCGGCCUAAUACCCCGUGACGCCACCGGAGGGCAUCCUCCGGUGGCCAAAGGAGCGAUCCGGUGGCGGAUGGGCAUGCGGCGCAUUAGCUAGACGGCGGGGUGACGGCCCACCGUGGCGACGAUGCGUAGGGGCUCUGAGAGGAAGGUCCCCCACAUUGGAACUGAGACACGGUCCAAACUCCUACGGAAGGCAGCAG
rnacentral:rRNA from 1 species